UACGUAGGUGGCGAGCGUUGUCCGGAUUUACUGGGCGUAAAGAGCGCGCAGGCGGUCGAUCAAGUCGGAUGUGAAAGCCCCCGGCUCAACUGGGGAGGGUCAUUCGAUACUGGUCGACUCGAAGGCAGGAGAGGGAAGCGGAAUUCCCGGUGUAGUGGUGAAAUGCGUAGAUAUCGGGAGGAACACCGGUGGCGAAGGCGGCAUCCUGGACCGACAUUGACGCUGAGGCGCGAAGGCCAGGGGAGCAAACGGG
rnacentral:rRNA from 1 species